rnacentral:tRNA from 1 species
GGGGCAGUAGCUCAGCGGUUAGAGCUGCGGACUCAUAACCCGUAGGUCCCUGGUUCAAAUCCAGGUUGCCCCA